rnacentral:lncRNA from 1 species
CUAUAACUGUACAGGGUGUCUCAAAAAUUGGAGCCAAAAUCUAUUAAACCCUAUAGGACUGAACCAAAACUAGGUUUCAAAAAUUGAAAAAUUAUUUUCUUAGACCCACUGUACAGGGUUGGACUUUUGGUAUGUUAUAGUCAAAGGUUGAAGCUAAUUAUUCUCUUACUAUACAUUUUUCCAUAAAUGUACAGGGUGUUUCGGAAAAUCCAGUCAAAAUUUAUUAAACCCUAUAGGACUGAACCAAAACUAGUUUUCAAAAAUUGAAAAAUUAUUUUCUUAGACCCACUGUACAGGGUUGGACUUUUGGUAUGUUAUAGCCAAAGGUUGAAGCUAAUUAUUCUCUUACUAUACAUUUUUCCAUAAAUGUACAGGGUGUCUCGGAAAAUCCAGUCAAAAUUUAUUAAACCCUAUAGGACUGAACCAAAACUAGUUUUCAAAAAUUGAAAAAUUAUUUUCUUAGACCCACUAUACAGGGUUGGACUUUUGGUAUGUUAUAGUCAAAGGUUGAAGCUAAUUAUUCUCUUACUACACAUUUUUCUAUAACUGUUCAGGGUGUCUCAAAAAUUGGAGCCAAAAUCUAUUAAACCCUAUAGGACUGAACCAAAACUAGUUUUCAAAAAUUGAAAAAUUAUUUUCUUAGACCCACUAUACAGGGUUGGACUUUUCAUAUGUUAUAGCCAAAGGUUGAAGCUAAUUAUUCUCUUACUACACAUUUUUCUAUAACUGUACAGGGUGUCUCGGAAAAUCCAGUCAAAAUCUAUUAAACCCUAGAGGACUGAACCAAAACUAGUUUUCAAAAAUUGAAAAAUUAUUUUCUUAGACCCACUAUACAGGGUUGGACUUUUGGUAUGUUAUAGUCAAAGGUUGAAGCUAAUUAUUCUCUUACUAUACAUUUUUCCAUAAAUGUACAGGGUGUCUCGGAAAAUCCAGUCAAAAUGUAUUAAACCCUAUAGGACUGAACCAAAACUAGUUUUCAAAAAUUGAAAAAUUAUUUACUUAGACCCACUGUACAGGGUUGGACUUUUGGUAUGUUAUAGUCAAAGGUUGAAGCUAAUUAUUCUCUUACUACACAUUUUUCCAUAAAUGUACAGGGUGUC